UCCCAUGUGGUCUGGUGGUCAGGAUUCCUGGUUUUCACUCAGGUGUCCCAUGUUCAACUCCUGGUAUGGGAA
rnacentral:tRNA from 1 species